rnacentral:rRNA from 1 species
GACGAACGCUGGCGGCGUGCUUAACACAUGCAAGUCGAACGGAAAGGCCCUGCUUUUGUGGGGUGCUCGAGUGGCGAACGGGUGAGUAACACGUGAGUAACCUGCCCUUGACUUUGGGAUAACUUCAGGAAACUGGGGCUAAUACCGGAUAGGAGCUCCUGCUGCAUGGUGGGGGUUGGAAAGUUUCGGCGGUUGGGGAUGGACUCGCGGCUUAUCAGCUUGUUGGUGGGGUAGUGGCUUACCAAGGCUUUGACGGGUAGCCGGCCUGAGAGGGUGACCGGCAACAUGGGGACUGAGAUACGGCCCAGACUCCACCGGGAGGCAGAGGUGGGGAAUAUUGAACAAGGGGCGGAAGCCGGAUGCAGCAACGCCGCGGGCGGGAUGACGGCCUUCGGGUGGUAAACCGCUUUCGCCGGUGACGAAGCGUGAGUGACGGUAAGGGGUAAAGAAGCACCGGCUAACUACGU